GCAUGGUUGUCGUCAGCUCGUGCCUGAGGUGUCGGGUUAAGUCCCAUAACGAGCGCAACCCCUACCUUAGUUGCCAUCAGGUUAAGCUGGGGACUCUAAAGGAACUGCCUACGCAAGUAGUGAGGAAGGCGGGGAUGACGUCAAAUCAGCACGGCCCUUACGUCCAGGGCUACACACGUGCUACAAUGGCCGAUACAGAGGGCAGCUACCUGGUGACAGGAUGCAAAUCUCCAAAGUCGGUCUCAGUUCGGAUCGGAGUCUGCAACCCGACUCCGUGAAGUUGGAUUCGCUAGUAAUCGCGCAUCAGCCAUGGCGCGGUGAAUACGUUCCCGGGCCUU
rnacentral:rRNA from 1 species